GUUAAAGCGCCCUCGGCCCGCGGUUCAGCCCCGCUGCGCGCAGGCCCCCGCCUUCCCUGCUCGGGCGGCGCGGAGGGAAACGCACCCCGGGUCCCUGGCCUUCCCCGACACAUACAGCCCGGUGGCAAAUCGCAACUGCGGCGGCGGCGGCGGCGGCCUCCGGGUCCUGGCCAUCGCGGGCACAGCCAACUCGGCUACGGGUCCCCGCGGCCAGCGGGCGUGUGUUCCCGCGAGGGACCGCCUACCCAUUCUCCCCGCCCCGGGAAGGACUGCGCCGCGCCCGGGACUUUUCGGACUCGCCCAGCAGCGCGCGAGCAGGCGGGCGGCCGCCGGAGCCGAGCGCGGGCGGAAAACGAAAGCGCUGGGCGGGUCGCUGCCGCUUUGUCUCCAGCGCCGCGGGCCGGUCGGGAGCGAGUGAGAGCAGCUGGCCCUGCGGGGACCAAAACCGCACAGGCUCCCCGAACAAGCGGCCCCGCUCAUUCACUCACCCGUGCAUUCGUGUAUGCAUGCACACACGCGCAUGCACUGAUGCACAUGCAAACCCGGUAAAUUACGCAGACUCAGAUGUGCAAACUCGCACCCAAGCGUGCCUUCCCACUCACGCAUACACAGUGCUCAGGCUCACUCACACACAGUAGGUCCACAGGAGCGUAAAUUCGCGCCUACCCUCACUCACGUGUACUCUAGCCACGCUCGGAUCCGAGCCCACAAGUAACCCAGUUGACCCCCUCCCCCAUACACACACUGAAAACCCGCCUAUUUGGCCCCGGAGCCCCGGUGUCCCCACUUUCCGAGAGCAGGUUCUGAUUUCUCGUAGAUGGUAAAGGCCCUGGCAGGAAGUUUAUACGGUUCAACGUAAACACGUUCUGGGGGGUUCUUUAAUAAUAAUAAUAGAGAAUUCCGCGUGCGCGGGGGGAGUUGGCCUAAUGCCCCUGUGGGCUCGGCCUGCCGCCGCCGCGGGGGCCUCUGACACUGCGCGCCCGGCCAGGUUCCGGAAAGCAGUCUGCGCGGGCGGAGAGCGCGGGCCUGGGUGGCCCUCGCGCGCCUGGCUGCCCGCAGCAGGGGCUUCCACGCACGCCUUCCCCCGCCAACCUCGCAGCGCUGGGGUUCGGGCUAGGACCGGGGAGGGGGGACAGUGGCGCCGAGCGCAGGACGGCGCUGGAGCCGGGCGCAACGCGGUGCGCAGGGACCCAGGUUUCCGUGGCUGGCCUGGGCUCCGCCGGGCGGUUCUUCUGCUCUGUGUGAUGCUCCAUAGCAUGAGCUGGGCUGGACGUCCAGGCUGCUGGGUCUCCUGGUUGCUGGUUGGUGCUGGCCGUUGCGGGGAGCUCAGCCGGGACUUCUCACCGGAGCACGUGAGUUCUCCCUGUGGCCUCGCCACGUGGCUCCAGCUUCUAAUAACAGGGUGCCUGGAUCCCCAGAAGACGAUGUGGAAGCUUCCAGCCUUCUUAAGACCUGGGUUCAGAUGUCCCAGACCACCAUUCUAUUGGCCAGAGCAGUAGAGGCCCAGCCUGGACUCGAGGGGAGGGCUCCAUCUCUGGACAGGAGCCCGCCUUGCACCUCAGGCCGGGUGGCAUUGUUGGGGAGCAUCUUUGGAGCUUAGGAGCGAACCGUGGGGCUGAUUGCCACUCGAGGAGGACCACUCUGGCUGCCGUGCAGAGAGGAGUGUGUGCUCAGAGUCCCCUGGGACUGAAGAAUCACCUCCAUGCCCUCCUCAUCUUCACCUCGACUUCUGCAUUAAAGGUCAGCCCUCCCAGGGCCCCUGGGGGUGAGCACUGACUGAGGGAGAAUCCCAACCUCCCUUGGCCUCAUCCCAACUGACAGACCCUGCUGCUCCCUCUGGCUUGGGUUCCCAAGGGCACACCCUCCUCCACAACCCAGACAGUGGCAGCGUGUGGACUCCAUAGAAAUGGAGAAAGGGUUUUUCAUCCAGCUUAGCCAGAGAUGGGCAAAGAAAUUGGUUUUAAAAUUGAUGGAGACAGAUACACAGAGAGGAGGACACCAUGUGAAGACACGGAGACCUGGGGAGAGGCCACGUGACGGCAGAGGCAGUGACUGGAGGGAGUAGAAUGCCGAGGACGGCGGCCACACCAGGAGCUGGGAGAGGAGCUUGAAAUCGAUCCUCCACCAGAGGCCCCGGAAAGAACCUACCCUGCCGACCGCUCGAUUCCAGGCUUCUGACCCCGCAACCGCGAGAGACUCAAUUUCUGCUGUUUUAAGCUCCCCAGUGAGCGGUACACGGGUGUGGCAGCCCCAGGACCGCGUACAGGUUUAGAGAUCUCAUUUUUCGUGCAUAUGUAUGUAUUUGUUCAAUAAAAGAGAUGGCAUUAUAAAUCAGUGGCAGUGAAUAAAAUUCGUUAAAUUGUGUUGGUUAAAAAAAAAAAGACCGAAUGUUGUCUAUAUAAUUGAUGUGCUCAUAGAGAUAAAAAUCCAAGCCUUCAUAGAGUUC